rnacentral:rRNA from 1 species
AAUUAAAACUUUUAACAACGGAUCUCUUGGUUCUGGCAUCGAUGAAGAACGCAGCGAAAUGCGAUAAGUAAUGUGAAUUGGAGAAUUCAGUGAAUCAUCGAAUCUUUGAACGCACAUUGCGCCCCCUGGUAUUCCGGGGGGCAUGCCUGUUCGAGCGUCAU